rnacentral:rRNA from 1 species
UACAGAGGGUGCAAGCGUUGUUCGGAAUUAUUGGGCGUAAAGGGCGCGUAGGCGGUGCCACAAGUCACCUGUGAAAGCCCCGGGCUCAACCUGGGAAUGGCAGUGGAUACUGGCAAGCUAGAGUGCGGUAGAGGGGUGUGGAAUUCCCGGUGUAGCGGUGAAAUGCGUAGAGAUCGGGAGGAACACCAGUGGCGAAGGCGGCACCCUGGACCAGCACUGACACUGAGGCACGAAAGCGUGGGGAGCAAACAGG